AGGAAACUGGACCUUGAAAUAAAAAAAACUUGAGAGGGAGCUCCAAGAAGAUGACACAGCUCAAAAUAAAAAUUAGCACCAGGUGUGGCCACUAGCCUAUAUGAAGGCCCAAAAUUGUGUGUUCCUUUCUGCUCUGACAAUGGCAUGCCCAUUCGUGCGAGAUGUGGUGGAUGAAGAAGCACUUGUGCUGAGGAGAGCCUUCAGGCGAGAAAGGGUCUUCAGGGACCGGUUGGACCCACUGGCCUUCCCUGAUGACCAUCUAUAUGAAAGAUACAG